rnacentral:miRNA from 1 species
GUUCCUUCCUCGCCCUACCCGACCCUGCAGUGUCAUUUCAGGUCGGGGUCGGAGGGAGGUUCUCAGC